rnacentral:sRNA from 1 species
UAUCCGAAGCCCGCCUAGAUGGCGCCGGUA